UCCUUUCCACACAUGCUACAUUCGCGUUCGUUGCAAGCUUUCUUACACUGGUAAUCUCACGUAUUGGCCCAUACGGGCAAAUGCGCCAACUAGCACUUACUAAUUAUAAUAACUUCACUCAAGAGGAAGAUGACAAUCUUCUGACUUCAAACUCUGGACUAAGCCUUCAGAUGUUCGAAGAACACUGAAUCAGAGAAGACCGCAAAUUUUGGAGACAUGAUUUGUCAACGAUCCACCUUUACUACACUUCAUCAUUCCAGCAAUUCCACGCGAUGACUAAAAUCAAGAUCCUCGUAAGAUACCCUGAAAUGUCUGCUAACUGAGACAGCUUUAGGAUUGAGCGAUCACAUCAUGACGUACAGACGUAACAGACAUCCGGGAAGUCCGUGGAUAUGACUCAGUAAUCGCCGUAUUCUCAGCAGUAAUGGAACGAACACUUCAUUAGAAAGCUGUCUACUUACGCAGGAUAACUUCUUAAGCACCCACUUUCAGUAAUGACCCACUGCUUAGGACGUUAUGAUCCUGAUUAGAAUUCUGGUUUUUGCACAAGAAAUUUGUAACAUUUGUAACGGGCGCUUAGAUCAUUUCUCUGACAUUAAUUAUUGAUUCUUAACAAAAAUCCCAGCAUUAUUCACACGCAUAUGUAAAAGUUAGCAUUAACUAUUUGUAGUUUGCACGGUAGAAUGUUGUGUCAAAUCAGCUAAUGUUUAAAAAAACCCAAUUCCGUCUCUCCUUCCAUUAUGUACAACCCUUGCACGCAACCAAGAGAAUAUUCUCUGGAUGCAACUAAUUCACAGCACUCUCUUCGACUAAGUACUAAUUCACAUGUCCCAAACGCAAUAAUGAAAACAAAUUCAUUCAUUAAGUAAUAGAUCCCCAAAAUACAAUGUAAUGAUGACAAGCAUUAACUAACCACUGUUUUAAUUGGACUAAUAAACUAACUUUCUAAUUAACCGAUUACUUACCAACUCACAUACUAAUUGACUAACAUACUAACUAACCAAUUAACUAAUUGCAAGGGUAACAUACUAAUAUAUACUAAUAUAUACUAAUACAUACUAAUAUAGUGACAACUAAUAAUGAAACAUGCCAACAUCUUUCUCUGAACUCCUCUCUACUAUUCUCAAUAUAGCUAAUAGGUUUACUAACUCUCAAACUAACCAACACACUGGCUCCCCACGAUCAGCAGUUUAUCUUUCUGUAACAUACUAAUAACUUAUACGAUGUCUAACAGAUAUGUUUUGUUCUGUACGUGUCCUCAGUUCCUUUAUCAAUUACUCUCUUACUAAUAUUGUACCAAUUAAUGAAAUCACCAACUAAGCUUGGCAUUAACUAACUUUCAAAUUUACUGCCUUACUAUCUAGCCAACUAACCAACUAAUUAAUAGGAUAACUGACUAACUAAUUUAUUACGUAACCAAUUAAUUACCGAACUGACUAACAAAAUAACUAACUGAUUAGCUAAAAAAAUGAUUACCAAACCAACUAACUAACUAAAAAACUAACGUACUGAUCAACUAACUAUUUAACCACUCGACUUACUAAUUUGUAAUAAAAACACCCACCGAUAUCUUUGAGUGUAACAUAACGAUCCAAGUUAAUUCUCUCGUCCUCAAUCCCCAUAUAUAUAAUAUAUUAAUUUUCUCACCUACCGCAGUGGUUGCACAAUCAAUUUGACUUAAAAAUAACCAUUACAGUGGAGUGACUAACUGAGAUUAACUUAAUAACAUACCUAUUACUAAUUACUGAAAGGCAUUGCUCAUAUCCCCUAAUUAAUUGCCUCUCUAACUAACCGGCUCUAGACAACCCUUUGUACUAAUUCUCUAUCCUCAACUGAUUUUUCUCCUUAAUCAGUUCUUCGUCUAACACAACUUUGCUCUUUUAUAUAUCUUUCUGUCAAAACAAAAUUUUCUUCCCUUCACUGAACAGUUUCCUAUUUGAUCAAUACACUUGGAAAGUAAUUUCCAAUAAAAUCAUUCUCAGUUAAAUAACCAAGGGCAAAUUUAUGCAUUGCCAUUCAGCAUGGCGACUGAGAUUCACAACAAUCUAGUUUUGUUCUGAUCUCCUUAUUGUGCUUAUUGAAACCUUUAAUCAAAGUAUUAGUUGAUCAUUCUUCAUUUAGUCGUUUUACUAACCAUAUGGAUUUCAGAAUCUUGUCUUAAAAAUUGUUCAACUCUGGAAUGGAAUGUUAGAAACUCCCAGUCGUUUUUCGUUUUAUUUCUUAUGGUAAAAGAGCUCAACUAUAGUUUACUUUCAGCAAAGUUGAAAUAAAAUUUGGUUUGUUACUUCA